rnacentral:tRNA from 1 species
UCCAGUGGCGCAAUUGGUUAGCGCGCGGUACUUAUAAUGCCGAGGUUGUGAGUUCGAUCCUCACCUGGGGAA